rnacentral:tRNA from 1 species
ACCUGGGUGGCUCAGUUGGCUGAGCAUCUGACUUCAGCUCAGGUCUUGAUCUCACGGUUCAUGGGUUCAAGCCCCACAUCAGGCU